rnacentral:misc_RNA from 1 species
UGACUUUUAAUUCAGAUUUUGUUUGUGUACUAAUAUAUUAAAAUUUUUCCAGAUGUUUGAUUCAAAUGAAAAUUCCGAUAAAUUUCUCAGGCUGAAGUUGGGGAAAGGAAAAGUAAUCAAGGGUUUGGAAGAAGGACUUGUAGGAGUUCGUAAAAAUUGCAGGCGUCUAGUUAUUGUUCCUCCUCAUCUUGGUUAUGAUAGUCAAGAAAUGAGCAAAAUUCCACCAAAAUCAACUUUAAUAUUUGAAGUUUUUGUAAAUAAAGUGAAAUUUGGGAAAGAAACCUCUCGGUCAUCCACGCCUUCAGUUAAUGAAGUCGAUUCUGGAAGCGAGAUAAAGAAGAGAGAUUCAAUAUCCACUAAAACCCACUCACCCAGUAUAGGAAGUGAAGAUUCAAUAAGAGCAAGAGGAGUUUCCAUUUCAGAACAGUUGUCUCAGAGCCCAAAGGAUGAAAAAGCAAAAAUAAUAUCUCGGAUGGCUAAAAUGGGAAUGUCUCUGUUACCGAAACAAAUUGGUGGAACCAGUCAGCAAAGCAGUGAAUCUGAAACAGACGAAGAAAUACAUUCUAAAGCAAGAAGCUCUCCAGUUACAAGUCAAGAAAAUUUGACAAGAGAACAAUCUCCAAAACCAGUACCAAAACCUAGAAGCACAUCGAAUGCAACUAGUUUUCAGCAACCAAAUCAACCUGCACCAGCACCAGUAACACAACAAAUGGCUGUUAUGCAACCUCCACAAUAUUUACCAAAUAACGUUUAUCCAUUUCCAUAUUCUGCAUCAACUGUGCCAUUUAAUGUGCUUCAACAACCGUUUCCAAAUCAUGCGAUUGCUACUGGUUCUCCCGCCGUAAUGACGAGUAUUGCUGACACUCAUCUUCCGUUGUUGUUGUCCGAGACCAGGACUCAAAAUACAGAAGUCAGACUUGCAUUAGGAAAGAUUACAGAGAAAGUAGACGUAGUCUUACAUAAGUUAGAUGACGUAAAACAUCAGUCAGCAUUUUCUGGACAAAUUCCAUAUCUUGAAUCGUCUGUAUUAUUGCAGAAUAUCCAAAGAAUAGUACAGGAGAAUAAUAAAUUAAAACAGGAAAUUGAUGAAAAGAGUGGAAAAAUUCAAAGUUUAAAUGAAAAAAUAUGUGAUUUAUUACAAAGAAAUCAAAGGUUUAUUGAAGAAAGCAACAGUAUGCUUGAACAAAGAAGCGAUUCCUUACAUUCCACGGCCUCUCAGUCUCAUGCUAGACUUUUAACUCUUGAACAAGAGAGAAUAAAACUUUCGUCUGAGCUCGCCGAAACAAUAUCUAAAGUGAGCGAAUUGCAGUUGGAACUCUCUGCUCGACAGCAACAGGAAAUAGAUUUAAAGAACAAACUUCAAACUGCAACAUACAACAGUCAGAAACAAAAGGAUGAAACAGAAUCUUUUAAGCUCAAAAUACAAGAACAAGAAGUUUUAAUUACUACAUUGCAGCAAAAUUUAAAAGAAAUUAGACAAGAAAAAAGAGAUUUGGAGAAAAAGUUAGAAAACUUGGAAGAAACUAUUGAAGAUUUUAAAAGUACAAAAGAAAUGCUUGAAAAGAGUUUGACUGAUAAAAAGAAACAGAUUCAAGAUGAACGAAUAAAAGCUGAAAAUGCAAUAGAGGAAACUCGGACAUCUUAUGAGAAAGAAAUUGAAAUGAUUCGGAAUAAAUAUCUCAAUAAAAGACCGGUGCCUUCUUCUGAGCAGGUAACAGAAAUUGAAGAUAUAGAAUCAAAGUGGAAAAAAAGAAGUGAACAAAUGAUUUUGGAAACUGCAGAAAAAUACAAAGAAGAAAUAGAAGUUCUCAAUAAAGAAAAAAUCAUGUUAGAAUGCAAAUUGAAGGAGAUAGAAAGUAAAUUAGAAAAAUCUAGAACGAAUCAAUCUUCAGAAAGAGAUCGGAUAUUUCAACUAGAAGAAGAAAUAGAAAAUUUGAAAGAAUGGAAACUUAAAUAUGAAUUGCUGGGUAAUAGUUCAGAAACAAUGAAGAAACAGUAUGAAGAGCAAAUAAAAGAACUUACAAGACUAUUAAAUCAAGGAGGUAGUUUUGCAGAAAGUAGUGUGAAGUUUUCCAGUGAGCUGAAAACAGCAAUGAACAGGUUAUAUCGUUGUCUCCAAACUGAAUUUCAUCCAGAAAAUUCUUACAGUGGAACACAAAUUAGACAAGUAGCUUUAAAUACAAUUCGGGCUGUAACCUUUGAAUUAAUAGAAGCUAAACAAACAGUUCCUGUUUCAAGAGAUGAACCAGAUAAAACAGAGAUAAAAAGUAAUGAAGAGACAGUUCAGAAGCAAAUGCCUGAUAAUGAAGUUAGUCAUUCUGAAAAUAACGGUAAUCAGAUAUCAUCUGAAACUGAAGCUUCAAAGGAAACUGAAAAUGAUACUCCAGUUUCAACUGUUCCUAUUGAAGACAAUUCAAAAUUAGAAGAUAACAUCACUAGUCAAACAAAAAUUGAUAGUAGUAAUGUAGAAUCAGUCAGUGAAACUUUAAAUCAAAAUGAUGAUUCCUCCAAAUUGGACAAAACAGAAGUUGAAGUUGUAAAUUCUAAUGAUGUACUUAAAGAAAAUGAAAUGGCAGUAAAAGCAGAUCAGUUUGAAAAUGAAGAAGACAAAUCAGGCCCAGACACAACAUUCUGCCUCCCCUGAUAAUUCAGAUAGUGGGGAGGACACCUCUUCCAAGCAAUAUCUCUUUUUUGACAACAAAUCCAAGCUUUUCCUUCGAGUGACUACACUCUUACUCCACGAUCCCAUGUGGAGAUCUGCAGUUAGGGCCGCAUUGUGUCUCUUUGUGCUCGGAAUAAUCAUCUUG